rnacentral:rRNA from 1 species
CAAAAACAUCUCUUAAUCAAAUCCCUUUAAGUACGCCUGCUCAUGAAUAUAAAUAGCCGCAGAAAAUUUACUGUGCUAAGGUAGCAUAAUCAAUUGCCUCCUAAUUAGAGGCUAGAAUGAAAGGCUCAACAAUUAAUCAAUUUUUUUUGAUAUAAAAAUUUAACUUAUUAUAAAUAUAAAAAAAUAUUUAUAAAUAUAUAAGACGACAAGACCCCAUCGAACUUAACUGAAGUUAAGCUGGGGAAGCUUAAUAAUAAUAAUUUUAAUUAAAAUACUCAAAUAAAACCCUAAAUUAUUUAUUAAAACAAGUUACCGUGGGGAUAACAGCGUAAUAUAUCUUCAAAGCUCUUAUUAAAAGAAAAGAUUACGACCUCGAUGUUGAAUUAUUUUUACUUACCCGCGCAAGAGCUAAAAAAGUAAGUCUGUUCGACUUUUAAAAAACUACAUGAUCUGAGUUCAAACCGG